rnacentral:rRNA from 1 species
UACGUAGGGUGCGAGCGUUAAUCGGAAUUACUGGGCGUAAAGCGUGCGCAGGCGGUUUUGUAAGCCAGAUGUGAAAGCCCCGGGCUCAACCUGGGAACAGCGCUUGAGACUGGCACGCUCGAGUUCGGGAGAGGAUGGUGGAAUUCCCAGUGUAGAGGUGAAAUUCGUAGAUAUUGGGAAGAACACCGAUGGCGAAGGCAGCCAUCUGGACCGACACUGACGCUGAGGCGCGAAAGCGUGGGGAGCAAACAGG